rnacentral:tRNA from 1 species
UCCCUGGUGGCUCAAUCGGUAAAAAGUCUGCCUGCAAUGCAGAAGACCUGGGUUCAAUCCCCAGGUAGGGAA